rnacentral:rRNA from 1 species
GAUGAACGCUGGCGGCGUGCCUAAUACAUGCAAGUCGAGCGAACGGACGAGAAGCUUGCUUCUCUGAUGUUAGCGGCGGACGGGUGAGUAACACGUGGAUAACCUACCUAUAAGACUGGGAUAACUUCGGGAAACCGGAGCUAAUACCGGAUAAUAUUUUGAACCGCAUGGUUCAAAAGUGAAAGACGGUCUUGCUGUCACUUAUAGAUGGAUCCGCGCUGCAUUAGCUAGUUGGUAAGGUAACGGCUUACCAAGGCAACGAUGCAUAGCCGACCUGAGAGGGUGAUCGGCCACCCGGGAACUGAGACACGGUCCAGACUCCUACGGGAGGCAGCAGUAGGGAAUCUUCCGCAAUGGGCGAAAGCCUGACGGAGCAACGCCGCGUGAGUGAUGAAGGUCUUCGGAUCGUAAAACUCUGUUAUUAGGGAAGAACAUAUGUGUAAGUAACUGUGCACAUCUUGACGGUACCUAAUCAGAAAGCCACGGCUAACUACGUG